UACGUAGGCAGCAAGCGUUGUUCGGAGUUACUGGGCGUAAAGAGUGCGUAGGUGGUGCCCUAAGUCUGUUGUGAAAUCUCCCGGCUUAACCGGGAGGGUGCGGUGGAAACUGGGGUGCUUGAGUGUGGGAGAGGUAAGCGGAAUUCCUGGUGUAGCGGUGAAAUGCGCAGAUAUCGGAAGGAACACCAGUGGCGAAGGCGGCUACCUGGACUCACACUGACGCUGAGGCGCGAAAGCGUGGGGAGCGAACAGG
rnacentral:rRNA from 1 species